GAGCGGAUGAGUGGAGCUUGUGCCAUGAUUCCGCGGCGGACGGAUGAGUAAUGCCUAGGAAUCUGCCUGGUAGUGGGGGACAACGUUUCGAAAGGAACGCGAAUACCGCAUACGUCCUACGGGAGAAAGUGGGGGAUCUUCGGACCUCACGCUAUCUGAUGAGCCUAGUUCGGAUUAGCUAGUUGGUGAGGUAAAGGGUCACCAAGGCGACGAUCCGUAACUGGUCUGAGAGGAUGAUCAGUCACACUGGAACUGAGACACGGUCCAGACUCCUACGGGAGGCAGCAGUGGGGAAUAUUGGACAAUGAGCGAAAGCAUGAUCCAGCCAUGCCGCGUGUGUGAAGAAGGUCUUCGGAUUGUAAAGCACUUUAAGUUGGGAGGAAGGGCAGUAAGUUAAUACCUUGCUGUUUUGACGUUACCAACAGAAUAAGCACCGUCUAACUUCGCGCCAGCAGCCGCGGUAAUACGAAGGGUGCAAGCGUUAAUCGGAAUUACUGGGCGUAAAGCGCGCGUAGGUGGUUCGUUAAGUUGAAUGUGAAAGCCCCGGGGUCAACCUGUGAACUGCAUCCAC
rnacentral:rRNA from 2 species